rnacentral:misc_RNA from 1 species
GAUGAAGAACGUAGCGAAAUGCGAUAAGUAAUGUGAAUUGCAGAAUUCAGUGAAUCAUCGAAUCUUUGAACGCACCUUGCGCUCCUUGGCAUUCCGAGGAGCAUGCCUGUUUGAGUGUCAUUAAAUUCUCAAGACCUGUCUGCUUUUUUGAUAGGUAUUGGAUUUUGGGGGUUGCAGGCUGUUUCAAAUAAAUAGCCUUGCUCUCCUUGAAUGUAUUAGUGGAGAAAAGCCAUUGAACUCCAUUGGUGUGAUAAAACCUAUCAAUGCCAUGAGCAAUAUCACUACUUCUCUCUGCUGUCUAACGGUGACUGUCUGUAUUAAUUAGUAUGGAUGGGGACAACUUGACCAACUUGACCUCAAAUCAGGUAGGACUACCCGCUGAACUUAAGCAUAUCAAUAAGCGGAGGA